AUUGAACGCUGGCGGCAUGCCUUACACAUGCAAGUCGAACGGCAGCAUGAUCUAGCUUGCUAGAUUGAUGGCGAGUGGCGAACGGGUGAGUAAUACAUCGGAACGUGCCCUGUAGUGGGGGAUAACUAGUCGAAAGAUUAGCUAAUACCGCAUACGACCUGAGGGUGAAAGUGGGGGACCGCAAGGCCUCAUGCUAUAGGAGCGGCCGAUGUCUGAUUAGCUAGUUGGUGAGGUAAAGGCUCACCAAGGCGACGAUCAGUAGCUGGUCUCAGAGGACGAUCAGCCACACUGGGACUGAGACACGGCCCAGACUCCUACGGGAGGCAGCAGUGGGGAAUUUUGGACAAUGGGCGAAAGCCUGAUCCAGCAAUGCCGCGUGUGUGAAGAAGGCCUUCGGGUUGUAAAGCACUUUUGUCCGGAAAGAAAUGGCUCUAGUUAAUACCUGGGGUCAAUGACGGUACCGGAAGAAUAAGGACCGGCUAACUACGUG
rnacentral:rRNA from 1 species